rnacentral:rRNA from 1 species
GUACACGCUGUGACUAGCAUAUCAAUAAGCGGAGGAAAAGAAACUAACAAGGAUUCCCCUAGUAACGGCGAGUGAAGCGGGAAGAGCUCAAAUUUGAAAUCUUAAAGGGUUUCCCUUUACGAAUUGUAGUUUAAAGAAGUGUUUUCUGCUGAGGUUUUGGUAGAAGCUCUUUGGAAUAGGACAUCAUAGAGGGUGAGAAUCCCGUAUUUGACCUUUACUUUCAACUUUGUGAUACACUUUCAAAGAGUCGGAUUGUUUGGGAAUGCAGUCCAAAAUGGGUGGUAAAUUUCAUCUAAAGCUAAAUAUUGGCGAGAGACCGAUAGCGAACAAGUACCGUGAGGGAAAGAUGAAAAGAACUUUGAAAAGAGAGUUAAACAGUACGUGAAAUUGUCAAAAGGGAAGCGUUUGACACCAGUGUUGUUUUUCUGAAAAUCAAUUAAAGAACUGUUUAUGCUAAGCUGUUUAGACUUUAUCAGCUAUCUGUUUAGUUUUGAGCUUUUCUUUAAUGCACUUUUCAGUUAACAAGUCAACAUCAAUUUCUUUUGCUGUAAAAAAGCUUGAGGAAGGUGGCUUGAGAUUCGUCUUAAGUGUUUAUAGCCUCUUGCCUAUGCAGUCGGAGAGAUUGAGGUCUGCAGCGUAGAUCCUUCGGGGCUAAAUACAUUUGUGCUAAGUUAUAGCAUUUUAUAGACAACUUGUUGACUAUGAUUUGUCUUGUAGCUUACUCGCUUAUGUUAUUUUACCUACGCUUAGGAUGUUGACUGAUAUGUAGUCGUA